rnacentral:rRNA from 1 species
AGCGAACGCUGGCGGCAGGCCUAACACAUGCAAGUCGAACGAACCUUUCGGGGUUAGUGGCGGACGGGUGAGUAACACGUGGGGACGUGCCUUUAGGUUCGGAAUAACUCAGGGAAACUUGUGCUAAUACCGAAUGUGCCCUUCGGGGGAAAGAUUUAUCGCCUUUAGAGCGGCCCGCGUCUGAUUAGCUAGUUGGUUGAGGUAAUGGCUCACCAAGGCGACGAUCAGUAGCUGGUCUGAGAGGAUGAUCAGCCACAUUGGGACUGAGACACGGCCCAAACUCCUACGGGAAGCAGCAGUGGGGAAUCUUGCGCAAUGGGCGAAAGCCUGACGCAGCCAUGCCGCGUGAAUGAUGAAGGUCUUAGGAUUGUAAAAUUCUUUCACCGGGGACGAUAAUGACGGUACCCGGAGAAGAAGCCCCGGCUAACUUCGUG